rnacentral:rRNA from 1 species
AUUGAACGCUGGCGGCAGGCUUAACACAUGCAAGUCGAGCGGGGUGAUGGUGCUUGCUACCUGACCUAGCGGCGGACGGGUGAGUAAUGCUUAGGAAUCUGCCUAUUAGUGGGGGACAACAUUCCGAAAGGAAUGCUAAUACCGCAUACGCCCUACGGGGGAAAGCAGGGGAUCUUCGGACCUUGCGCUAAUAGAUGAGCCUAAGUCAGAUUAGCUAGUUGGUGGGGUAAAGGCCUACCAAGGCGACGAUCUGUAGCGGGUCUGAGAGGAUGAUCCGCCACACUGGGACUGAGACACGGCCCAGACUCCUACGGGAGGCAGCAGUGGGGAAUAUUGGACAAUGGGCGAAAGCCUGAUCCAGCCAUGCCGCGUGUGUGAAGAAGGCCUUUUGGUUGUAAAGCACUUUAAGCGAGGAGGAGGCUACCGAGAUUAAUACUCUUGGAUAGUGGACGUUACUCGCAGAAUAAGCACCGGCUAACUCUGUGCCAGCAGCCGCAGUAACAC